AGCUUCUGAUAUCUCUGUUCCAGCCUCUUCAGGAUUCAAGUGUUUUAUUCCCAGACCCUGAUGGGAAUAAGGACAGUGGAUUCCCAGAAUGUUGCUGAUCCUUUUCUCCAUCUCCCUGUGUUUUUCCUGGGUCUCUCCCGGUACCCGGAGCAACUCAGGGAAGGACUAAAGGAUGGGAUGGGCCUGAGAAGAAAUAAGGAGCUCAGAAGCAGGAAAAGCACCAGGGCCUUUGAUCUGUGUCCCUGGCCACGGACCCUUCAUUUCACAGUUGGAAGUUCCAACAAGUCUGAUUUUACCAGAUGUCUGGUUUGUCCUCUUCAUUAUGGCAUUCAGUCUUGAUGGCCAUGUUUAUAUGUGUGCUCACCAAAUUUGUGACAUAAUUCCAGAAAUUCAUGUUGCAAAAUUUUACCCAGAAGAACUGCCUUUGGAUGCACCCACGAGUUUCAUGAUCACGAUAACUCAUUCUAAUUCCGUUGACCAUUUCAUUGCUCGUAACAUUAGGAAAGAUUUUGACACCCGAGGCUAUAGUAUCGAUCACAGUGGAUGAGUUAGUGUCUGAAAAUAAAUCAA